rnacentral:sRNA from 1 species
UAAUUUUUGCAGCAGAGCGGUCGGCAUUCCUCCGAAGGAAGGUGAUGCCAUGGAAGUAUAUGAACCUUUAACACUAAUGAUCUCCUUUGGAGCAUUAGUUGCUUUAUUACUUACCUCCGAUAAACGGAAAUAGACCGCCUCUGCUCAAGGAAUGCCGGUCUAUUUUCCGAUUUCCAAAGCCGACCGCACUUCAAGCGGCUGUUGCUAGGGGUCAUGUUAGCGCAUGACUC